rnacentral:rRNA from 1 species
UACGUAGGGCGCAAGCGUUGUCCGGAAUUAUUGGGCGUAAAGAGCUCGUAGGCGGUUUGUCGCGUCUGCUGUGAAAUCCCGAGGCUCAACCUCGGGCUUGCAGUGGGUACGGGCAGACUAGAGUGCGGUAGGGGAGACUGGAAUUCCUGGUGUAGCGGUGGAAUGCGCAGAUAUCAGGAGGAACACCGAUGGCGAAGGCAGGUCUCUGGGCCGCAAGCUGA